CGAGAGAUGAGGAGCUUGCUCUUCAAAUCGAGUGGCGAACGGGUGAGUAACGCGUGAGGAACCUGCCUCAAAGAGGGGGACAACAGUUGGAAACGACUGCUAAUACCGCAUAAGCCCACGGCUCGGCAUCGAGCAGAGGGAAAAGGAGUGAUCCGCUUUGAGAUGGCCUCGCGUCCGAUUAGCUAGUUGGUGAGGUAACGGCCCACCAAGGCGACGAUCGGUAGCCGGACUGAGAGGUUGAACGGCCACAUUGGGACUGAGACACGGCCCAGACUCCUACGGGAGGCAGCAGUGGGGAAUAUUGCACAAUGGGGGAAACCCUGAUGCAGCGACGCCGCGUGGAGGAAGAAGGUCUUCGGAUUGUAAACUCCUGUUGUUGAGGAAGAUAAUG
rnacentral:rRNA from 1 species